GGGGAUCACAUUUACACAACAAAUUACAUUUUCGAAUUUAUUUAAAGAAAAAAGUGAAAAUGGACAAAAGCCCAUGAGGGCACUACCAUGUGAAAAUAUGCAGGAAAGCAGGUUCACUGUAACCCUCUUGUACUAUUUGCUGAAACGUAUUCGUAACCACAGAUUCUUGAAAACCAUGAGAAAAUCAAGAAAAGGGUUCUUUAAUGGGGAAAGUUUUCUUACAAAAUGAAAAUGAGUUUUACUUCUUUUCCUCUUUCUUCUCUUCUUUCUUCUCUUCCUU
rnacentral:misc_RNA from 1 species